rnacentral:rRNA from 1 species
AUAUCAAUAAGCGGAGGAAAAGAAACUAACAAGGAUUCCCCUAGUAACUGCGAGUGAAGCGGGAAAAGCUCAAAUUUAAAAUCUGGCGGUUUUGCCGUCCGAGUUGUAAUCUGGAGAAGCGUUUUCUGUGCUGGACCGUGUACAAGUCUCUUGGAACAGAGCGUCAUAGAGGGUGAGAAUCCCGUCCAUGACACGGACGCCCAGUGCUAUGUGAUACGUUUUCAAAGAGUCGAGUUGUUUGGGAAUGCAGCUCAAAAUGGGUGGUAAGCUCCAUCUAAAGCUAAAUAUUGGCGAGAGACCGAUAGCGAACAAGUACCGUGAGGGAAAGAUGAAAAGCACUYUGGAAAGAGAGUUAAACAGUACGUGAAAUUGUUGAAAGGGAAACGCUUGAAGUUAGUCGCGUCUUACUUGACUCAGCCUUGCCUCGGCUUGGUGUAUUUCAUGUGAGACGGGUCAACAUCGAUUUUGACCGGCAGACAAGGGGAGUAAGAAUGUGGCAUCCUUCGGGAUGUGUUAUAGCUUAUUCUCAUAUGUGUCGGUUGGGAUUGAGGACCGCAGCGCGCCCUUGUGGCCGGAGGUUCGCCUCACGUUACGCGCUUAGGAUGUUGGCAUAAUGGCUUUAAGCGACCCGUCUUGAAACACGGACCAAGGAGUCUAACAUGCUCGCGAGUGUUAGGGUGGAAAACCCUUGCGCAGAAUGAAAGUAAAAGUUGGGAACCUCCGCAAGGGGGCGCACCGACGCCCGGCCCAGAAGUUUACGGACGGUGCUGCGGUAGAGCGCGUAUGUUGGGACCCGAAAGAUGGUGAACUAUGCCUGAAUAGGGCGAAGCCAGGGGAAACCCUGUGUGGAGGCUCGUAGCGAUUCUGACGUGCAAAUCGAUCGUCAAAUUUGGGUAUAGGGGCGAAAGACUAA